rnacentral:misc_RNA from 1 species
UUGCUUUUGGGCCAUCCUAUCAGGUAUACUCUCUUAUUGCAAUUUAGUUGGUAUUGACAUUGUUGUGCAGUGACGUGUUUCUGAAUAUGUGUUACUUGUAGACUUACUUCAUGUAAUUCAAUUGUAAGAUUUACAUUCUUCAGACUAUGAAAGGCUCUUUGACCCUAUAUAUAGCUAGGCGGACCCAUGAAUAAAAUGGAAGAAAAAGAAGAUA